GACGAACGCUGGCGGCGUGCUUAACACAUGCAAGUCGAACGAUGAAGCUGGAGCUUGCUCCGGUGGAUUAGUGGCGAACGGGUGAGUAACACGUGAGCAAUCUGCCCUUGACUCUGGGAUAACUGCGGGAAACUGUAGCUAAUACCGGAUACGAGGCUCGAAGGCAUCUUCGGGUCUGGAAAGAAUUUCGGUCAAGGAUGAGCUCGCGGCCUAUCAGCUUGUUGGUGAGGUAAUGGCUCACCAAGGCGAAGACGGGUAGCCGGCCUGAGAGGGUGACCGGCCACACUGGGACUGAGACACGGCCCAGACUCCUACGGGAGGCAGCAGUGGGGAAUAUUGCACAAUGGGCGAAAGCCUGAUGCAGCAACGCCGCGUGGGGGAUGAAGGCCUUCGGGUUGUAAACCUCUUUUAGCAGGGAAGAAGCGAAAGUGACGGUACCUGCAGAAAAAGCACCGGCUAACUACGUGCCAGCCGCCGCGGUAA
rnacentral:rRNA from 1 species